UACGUAGGGUGCAAGCGUUAUCCGGAUUCACUGGGUUUAAAGGGUGUGUAGGCGGGUAUUUAAGUCAGUGGUGAAAUCUCCGGGCUCAACCCGGAAACUGCCAUUGAUACUAUUUAUCUUGAAUUCUGUUGAGGUAGGCGGAAUAUAUCAUGUAGCGGUGAAAUGCUUAGAUAUGAUAUAGAACACCGAUUGCGAAGGCAGCUUACUAAACAGACAUUGACGCUGAGGCACGAAAGCGUGGGGAUCAAACAGG
rnacentral:rRNA from 1 species